CGUAGGUGGCAAGCGUUAUCCGGAUUUACUGGGUGUAAAGGGCGUGUAGGCGGGAGUGCAAGUCAGAUGUGAAAAUUAUGGGCUCAACCCAUAACCUGCAUUUGAAACUGUACUUCUUGAGUACUGGAGAGGCAGGCGGAAUUCCGUGUGUAGCGGUGAAAUGCGUAGAUAUACGGAGGAACACCAGUGGCGAAGGCGGCCUGCUGGACAGCAACUGACGCUGAGGCGCGAAAGCGUGGGAGCAAACAGGAUU
rnacentral:rRNA from 1 species